rnacentral:rRNA from 1 species
UCAGCAUGGAAAUGGGGGCCUAUGGCCUUGAAUUGUAGUCUCGAGAUGUACCGCCAACGGAGGCGCAGAUGUAAGCCUCUUGGAAAAGAGCAUCAACGAGGGUGAGAGUCCCGUUCGUCAUCUGCAGUCCCCCGUGUUCGGUGUACCUUCUAAGAGUCGCGUUCCUCGGAAUUGGAGCGUAAAGUGGGUGGUAAAUUUCAUCUAAAGCUAAAUAUUGGUUCGAGACCGAUAGCAAACAAGUACCAUGAGGGAAAGGUGAAAAGGACUUUGAAAAGAGAGUUAAAAGUGCCUGAAAUUGCUGAAAGGGAAGCGAAUGGAACCAGUGUUGCUUGGUGAGAUUGUUACGCGCUAAGGUGAUUGCCUGCUUCUUCAACGCAAGUGUGGUUGUGGGUUUUGAUCUGGACGCGCGUGGUGGUUCUUGCCUUGUGUGUCAACGCCAGUUCACAAUCGAGGAAAACUCCAGGGACAUGGUAGUUUGCCCCCGGGUGAGCGAAUGUGCUUGGUGGAACUCAUUGGUGAACUGAUUUCUUGUGUCUGGUUGCAGUGUCUCAUGUCCUGGACAACUUCGGUGGGGGACCUCGUCCUUCUUCGGAUUGCUUCAGCGACUGGGGCACUUCCCUGACACAUCGACGAUGACUAAAUGGUUCUAUUCGACCGUCUUGAAACACGGACCAAGG